GGGUUGUGAGGUUAAGCGACUAAGCGUACACGGUGGAUGCCCUGGCAGUCAGAGGCGAUGAAGGGCGUGCUAAUCUGCGAUAAGCGCCGGUAAGGUGAUAUGAACCGUUAUAACCGGCGAUACCCGAAUGGGGAAACCCAGUGUGACUCGUCACACUAUCAUUAACUGAAUCCAUAGGUUAAUGAGGCGAACCGGGGGAACUGAAACAUCUAAGUACCCCGAGGAAAAGAAAUCAACCGAGAUUCCCCCAGUAGCGGCGAGCGAACGGGGAGGAGCCCAGAGCCUGAAUCAGCAUGUGUGUUAGUGGAAGCGUCUGGAAAGGCGCGCGAUACAGGGUGACAGCCCCGUACACAAAAGCGCAUGUGCUGUGAGCUCGAUGAGUAGGGCGGGACACGUGGUAUCCUGUCUGAAUAUGGGGGGACCAUCCUCCAAGGCUAAAUACUCCUGACUGACCGAUAGUGAACCAGUACCGUGAGGGAAAGGCGAAAAGAACCCCGGCGAGGGGAGUGAAAAAGAACCUGAAACCGUGUACGUACAAGCAGUGGGAGCACCCUUUGGGUGUGACUGCGUACCUUUUGUAUAAUGGGUCAGCGACUUAUAUUCUGUAGCAAGGUUAACCGAAUAGGGGAGCCGGAGGGAAACCGAGUCUUAAUUGGGCGUUAAGUUGCAGGGUAUAGACCCGAAACCCGGUGAUCUAGCCAUGGGCAGGUUGAAGGUUGGGUAACACUAACUGGAGGACCGAACCGACUAAUGUUGAAAAAUUAGCGGAUGACCUGUGGCUGGGGGUGAAAGGCCAAUCAAACCGGGAGAUAGCUGGUUCUCCCCGAAAGCUAUUUAGGUAGCGCCUCGUGAAUUCAUCUCCGGGGGUAGAGCACUGUUUCGGCUAGGGGGCCAUCCCGGCUUACCAACCCGAUGCAAACUGCGAAUACCGGAGAAUGUUAUCACGGGAGACACACGGCGGGUGCUAACGUCCGUCGUGAAGAGGGAAACAACCCAGACCGCCAGCUAAGGUCCCAAAGUCAUGGUUAAGUGGGAAACGAUGUGGGAAGGCCCAGACAGCCAGGAUGUUGGCUUAGAAGCAGCCAUCAUUUAAAGAAAGCGUAAUAGCUCACUGGUCGAGUCGGCCUGCGCGGAAGAUGUAACGGGGCUAAACCAUGCACCGAAGCUGCGGCAGCGACACUGUGUGUUGUUGGGUAGGGGAGCGUUCUGUAAGCCUGCGAAGGUGGCCUGUGAGGGUUGCUGGAGGUAUCAGAAGUGCGAAUGCUGACAUAAGUAACGAUAAAGCGGGUGAAAAGCCCGCUCGCCGGAAGACCAAGGGUUCCUGUCCAACGUUAAUCGGGGCAGGGUGAGUCGACCCCUAAGGCGAGGCCGAAAGGCGUAGUCGAUGGGAAACGGGUUAAUAUUCCCGUACUUGGUGUUACUGCGAAGGGGGGACGGAGAAGGCUAUGUUGGCCGGGCGACGGUUGUCCCGGUUUAAGCGUGUAGGUGUGUGUUCCAGGUAAAUCCGGUUCACUUUAACACUGAGGCGUGACGACGAGGCACUACGGUGCUGAAGCAACAAAUGCCCUGCUUCCAGGAAAAGCCUCUAAGCAUCAGGUAACAUCAAAUCGUACCCCAAACCGACACAGGUGGUCAGGUAGAGAAUACCAAGGCGCUUGAGAGAACUCGGGUGAAGGAACUAGGCAAAAUGGUGCCGUAACUUCGGGAGAAGGCACGCUGACACGUAGGUGAAGUGAUUUACUCAUGGAGCUGAAGUCAGUCGAAGAUACCAGCUGGCUGCAACUGUUUAUUAAAAACACAGCACUGUGCAAACACGAAAGUGGACGUAUACGGUGUGACGCCUGCCCGGUGCCGGAAGGUUAAUUGAUGGGGUCAGCGCAAGCGAAGCUCCUGAUCGAAGCCCCGGUAAACGGCGGCCGUAACUAUAACGGUCCUAAGGUAGCGAAAUUCCUUGUCGGGUAAGUUCCGACCUGCACGAAUGGCGUAAUGAUGGCCAGGCUGUCUCCACCCGAGACUCAGUGAAAUUGAACUCGCUGUGAAGAUGCAGUGUACCCGCGGCAAGACGGAAAGACCCCGUGAACCUUUACUAUAGCUUGACACUGAACAUUGAGCCUUGAUGUGUAGGAUAGGUGGGAGGCUUUGAAGUGUGGACGCCAGUCUGCAUGGAGCCGACCUUGAAAUACCACCCUUUAAUGUUUGAUGUUCUAACGUGGACCCGUUACCCGGGUUGCGGACAGUGUCUGGUGGGUAGUUUGACUGGGGCGGUCUCCUCCUAAAGAGUAACGGAGGAGCACGAAGGUUGGCUAAUCCUGGUCGGACAUCAGGAGGUUAGUGCAAUGGCAUAAGCCAGCUUGACUGCGAGCGUGACGGCGCGAGCAGGUGCGAAAGCAGGUCAUAGUGAUCCGGUGGUUCUGAAUGGAAGGGCCAUCGCUCAACGGAUAAAAGGUACUCCGGGGAUAACAGGCUGAUACCGCCCAAGAGUUCAUAUCGACGGCGGUGUUUGGCACCUCGAUGUCGGCUCAUCACAUCCUGGGGCUGAAGUAGGUCCCAAGGGUAUGGCUGUUCGCCAUUUAAAGUGGUACGCGAGCUGGGUUUAGAACGUCGUGAGACAGUUCGGUCCCUAUCUGCCGUGGGCGCUGGAGAACUGAGGGGGGCUGCUCCUAGUACGAGAGGACCGGAGUGGACGCAUCACUGGUGUUCGGGUUGUCAUGCCAAUGGCACUGCCCGGUAGCUAAAUGCGGAAGAGAUAAGUGCUGAAAGCAUCUAAGCACGAAACUUGCCCCGAGAUGAGUUCUCCCUGAGACUUAAAGUCUCCUGAAGGAACGUUGAAGACGACGACGUUG
rnacentral:rRNA from 1 species